rnacentral:rRNA from 1 species
AUACGGAGGGUGCAAGCGUUAUUCGGAAUCACUGGGCGUAAAGGACGCGUAGGCGGGUUGGCAAGUCAGAUGUGAAAUCCUACAGCUUAACUGUAGAACUGCAUUUGAAACUGCUAACCUAGAGUAUGGGAGGGGGAGAUGGAAUUAGUGGUGUAGGGGUAAAAUCCGUAGAUAUCACUAGGAAUACCGAAAGCGAAGGCGAUCUCCUGGAACAUAACUGACGCUAAGGCGUGAAAGCGUGGGGAGCAAACAGGAUUAGAAACCCUGUGUCC